UUAAAUAUUUUUCUUUUUAUUUAUAUAAAUAGUUUUUUGUCGUGAUUAAAAUAUGGAAUAAUAUUUGAUAGGGAAUGUUUAGACUCCAUAAACAAAAUCAAAGGGUUGACAAAUAUCUUAUAAUGGUGUAAUACCCGAUAUUGGCCCGGGUAAAAGGCCCAAAAUAUAAACGGUCUACAAAACCCGAAAUGAACAGAGGCCCAAAACAAUGUCAGAAACUCCUAGGGUUUCUAAGGAAACUUUCGCGCCGCAGCCACCAAGCACCACAUCCCCGGAUCUUUACUUGCACAGCAAAUAAACGCAAGAAAGGAAACAAGAUCAAAGAUUGCGAAUCAAGAAGAAAUCAAACAGAUUUUUUUUCCUUUAUAUAUUUUAUUAUUAGGGUUAUAAAAAAGGGAUAGAAUAUAUUGUAACGGGGGACGGAUAUGGUAUCAAAAAAAGGAUUGAAGAAAUACAAAAAAACAGAAAAAACCACAAACAUUUUUUGAAGGUGACGAAUCAGUUCCAUUUUCUUUUUCCCUUUUUCCUUCUGCUGAUUUUUUUUAUAUUUUAUUUCAUUUUUUUCUCCUGUUUUUAAAAAAAAAACGAAAUAACAAAAGAAAAAAUGAGGAAUUACUUACCUCCGUGGAGGAAGACAGAGUUCUAUUUGCUCUGCCUGAAUCGGAGCCGGAGACUUCGUGCUUGCUAAAAUGGCGGUGGCGGCGGCUGAGUUAGAGCCCUAGCAGAGGCUAGGGUUUAUAAGUUUUUUUGUUUUUUUGUAAAUACGGCAGAAAAAUG
rnacentral:lncRNA from 1 species